UGGGGAAUAUUGCACAAUGGGCGCAAGCCUGAUGCAGCCAUGCCGCGUGUGUGAAGAAGGCCUUCGGGUUGUAAAGCACUUUCAGCGGGGAGGAAGGCGAUAAGGUUAAUAACCUCAUCGAUUGACGUUACCCGCAGAAGAAGCACCGGCUAACUCCGUGCCAGCAGCCGCGGUAAUACGGAGGGUGCAAGCGUUAAUCGGAAUUACUGGGCGUAAAGCGCACGCAGGCGGUCUGUCAAGUCGGAUGUGAAAUCCCCGGGCUCAACCUGGGAACUGCAUUCAAAACUGGCAGGCUAGAGUCUUGUAGAGGGGGGUAGAAUUCCAGGUGUAGCGGUGAAAUGCGUAGAGAUCUGGAGGAAUACCGGUGGCGAAGGCGGCCCCCUGGACAAAGACUGACGCUCAGGUGCGAAAGCGUGGGGAGCAAACAGG
rnacentral:rRNA from 1 species